CCGCACCCGGUGCCGCCGCCCCGGCACGACCCCCCGCGGGGCUGGGUGGGCUGCGAGGCGGGCUCCCCUCCCCGAGGACAAGGUCAAGGAUGAAGGGUCAAUGUCGAGGUGUCUUAACGGCGGAAGGCGGCGGGGCCGCGGCAGCACCCCCUCGGCUUUCCGCCCUCCCGGCGCCCCGGAUUGAUUUGAAAGUGCCAUUUUGCGGGGGAAGCGCGUCCUGGCACCGGGACGCCGUGCGGGGCUUCGCCGGUCCUGCGGAGGUGACGGUGGUGCGGGACGGAGAUUUCCCUGCCUAUAAAGAGCGUUUCGUGUCUUAAAACUGCUUUAACGGCCGGGUUGGUUUAAGUUUCAGCCCCCCCCCCCCCCCCGGGGGUGGCCGAGCUGUGCCCAAGUGACCCCUCGGAGAGUUCAGAAUAAGGCCCCCACCUUCUGCUAAUCACGCCGUAUAACGAUAAUAAUUAAGUCCAGCGCAGCCGGGGUGCUGCAGGCCUGCUGCAAAUAAAGCUGCCCGGCCAGAAAAUGCCAUCAAGCCUCCUUCACCGCGCGGGUCCGGCAAAAAUCUUUGCAGAAAUCAGUACGUUAAUCCUAAUCUCUCAAGGAUAAUAAAAAUAUUUAUCCUAAAUCAGAAAAAGUCGCCCCAAUCGACUCCAAAAUCAUCAGACAAAACACCUUCUGGAGGGAGAUAUUAUCGCCGGGUGUCGCAAGGAGUGAAAUAAGCCGAUGUCAUCCCGGCUCCCUAAAUUGUCUGUCCCUGGUUGGAGGGAGAAAAAAGCCACCUGGAGCGGCGGGGAGCAAGGGGUUGUGAGAAGGAGAAUAGAAACUUUCGCUGUGACUUGACCGUGAACUUCCUGCGACGCGGGGCACGUGCAGCUUUUCACCUUUUUCUUCACGUUCUGGAUCAAAUCCUUCCUGUUUUGAUCUAAUAUAGAUAUCAUUAUUUGACAUAUGACUGUAAUAGACGUGAACGCCGUUGUAACUAAUCUUGACAACGUACCUAUAGCUUCGAUUCGUGCCAGGAAUUAAUUGGCUUUAAUCCAAUUACUAAAACUUGCUUCUCAGCCUUUAUUACACUUACUCUCUAGUAACGUGUGGGUGGAUUUGUUUGUAAUUUAGCAUAGGCCGUCCCUGGCACUGCACCAUCCCUCGUACCUAACACAGAACUGUCUGUAACAUCAAACUGGGGAGAAAAAAAAAAAAAAAAAGGGCAGGUGUGAGGGCAAUUACUUUAUCAUCUCUCGGCUCGGUGGCGGGGAGCUCGAAUUGUUAAGCCAACAAGUCAGCGGGCAAUAAAAACCUCUUGGCAAGCCCUGCCAACAUAAACCAGAGCGGGAACACGAUAAAAUAUAAUAUUAAACUUCUCUGACACCCUGGCUUUGCAUCGCAAGUGGCCUCAGCCCGCCUGGGGACCCUGCACGGCCCCGCCGCCGCCAGACACCCGCCCCCGGCGCUGCCCGGCAGCAAACAGGCUCUCAACUAUUCCCAGGGGAAAUUUUUCUCGGGAACCCCGACUCUCCUGAAGGUACAGUUCAGCUUUUCAUACGUCUCUGCCUCUCCCUUCGGACAGAGCCCCGGGACCGCGGUGGGCUGUCAGGUUGUGCCCCCCUCCCCGCAGCAGGGAGCUCGCCGAGUCCGAAAAACUCGGGUAAAACCCUCGCGGACGGAAGAGAAAAAAAAA